rnacentral:rRNA from 1 species
AAUGCCCAAUCUCAUAAACACUACCCUAAUCCUUUAUCAGUACUGAGUAAUUCUAUAUUAUUAUAGAAAAUUUUAUGUUAAAACUAGUAACAAGAAAAAGACUUUCUCUUCAAUGUAAGUGUAAAUCAGAAAGGACAAACCACUGAUACUUAACAUCACUGAGCCAAAAGUAGAAACUCAACAAGAAAACCCUACUUUUAUUUAUGUUAACCUAACACAAGAAUAUUAUAAGAAAGAUUAAAAGAAAAAGAAGGAACUCGGCAAAUAUUAACCUCGCCUGUUUACCAAAAACAUCGCCUCUUGAGUUCUAUAAGAGGUCCAGCCUGCCCAGUGACCCUGUUCAACGGCCGCGGUAUCCUAACCGUGCGAAGGUAGCGUAAUCACUUGUUCUUUAAUUAAGGACUAGUAUGAAUGGCAUCACGAAGGUUAUACUGUCUCCUUUUUCUAAUCAGUGAAACUAAUCUUCCCGUGAAGAAGCGGGAAUAUAAAUAUAAGACGAGAAGACCCUAUGGAGCUUAAAAUGACUCAACAUUUGCUUAAAUAUUAAAAAUUUCAGAACAUUAACUCUUCAAGCAAUAUGAUUGUAAGUUUUUGGUUGGGGUGACCAUGGAGAAUAACCUAACCUCCAUGUUGAAAGAACUCCCUUCUAAGCUAAGAAUUACUAAUCUAAGCAUCAACACACUGACACUCCUUGACCCAAUAUAAUUGAUCAACGAACCAAGUUACCCUAGGGAUAACAGCGCAAUCUACUUCAAGAGCUCCUAUCGACAAGUAGGUUUACGACCUCGAUGUUGGAUCAGGGUAUCCUAGUGGUGUAGCCGCUAC